rnacentral:rRNA from 1 species
UACGUAGGUGGCAAGCGUUGUCCGGAAUUACUGGGCGUAAAGCGUGCGCAGGCGGUUUUGUAAGACAGGUGUGAAAGCCCCGGGCUCAACCUGGGAAUUGCAUUCGAGACUGAAUAGCUAGGGUACGGUAGAGGGAAGCGGAAUUUCCGGUGUAGCGGUGAAAUGCGUAGAUAUCGGAAGGAACAUCAGUGGCGAAAGCGGCUUCCUGGACCAGUACCAACGUUCAGGCACGAAAGCGUGGGGAGCAAACAGG